UAGGGAAUAUUGCACAAUGGGCGAAAGCCUGAUGCAGCAACGCCGCGUGCGCGAAGAAGGUCUUCGGAUCGUAAAGCGCUUUUCUGGGAGAUGAGAAAGGACAGUAUCCCAGGAAUAAGUCUCGGCUAACUACGUGCCAGCAGCCGCGGUAACACGUAGGAGGCGAGCGUUAUCCGGAUUCACUGGGCGUAAAGCGCGUGCAGGCGGUUCGGUAAGUUGGGCGUGAAAUCUCCCGGCUCAACUGGGAGAGGUCGUUCAAUACUACCGAACUUGAGAGCGGUAGAGGACAAUGGAAUUCCCGUUGUAGUGGUGAAAUGCGUAGAUAUCGGGAGGAACGCCAGUGGCGAAAGCGAUUUUCUGGAUCGUUUCUGACGCUCAGACGCGA
rnacentral:rRNA from 1 species